rnacentral:antisense_RNA from 1 species
GAAAAUUUUCAACUGAAGAAAACAUCUUACCAACUGAAGAAAACAACUCAUGCACAGUACAUCUUGGAUGGUCUGAAAAUGAGUAAACUAACAGCAAAUCUUAAUUUUAUGAGCAGAACAGAUGACUUUCAGUAAGGAUAAUGCAUCGUUUUCUCAAGUGCUACAUUUAAUAAUACUGGCGCCUUUGUCCAUGGUAUGAACUGCAUUUGAUUUAUUUACAUUUCAAAAACCUCCCAGUAAAAAGAUGUCAAUGCAAAGUCCCCACAGACCCGAUGCGCUACAAUGGUAGCUUAUAUCGUAGGUUCCAUUUCCUCUUGAGUAAUCCAAGGUCAACAUGCCCUGAGAUAUCAAUCCUUCCUGAAUCUGAAGUGUCCUUUCACAGUCUGUUCUCUAUAGCCAUGUGGCCUUGGUGGAGUGUCUCUUUGAGCGAUGAUGGAACCUGGCCACAGGGAAGUGACAGUAACGCAGAGCCCUACUGCGAUGAGCCUCCCUUGGGCUAUGACCCCUUCUUGGGUCUGGGGGGGCUGGUAGUCAGGCCUCUUCAGCGGUAGCAUCUAUUCCAGCAUAAGUGAAGUUCUCAAAGAGAGCCAUGUUGACAUAAGCCUAGAAUACAAAAAAGAAGUAGUGGUUUGGAGGGAACAGGCAGGGGGAACUGAAUAAAUAACCUUAAUUGGAGCUCAAAUGCAAUAUGUUUGUGCUACAUGAGGAAUAUUGAAAAACUAUCAAAUAUACGGAAAUCUAUUCGAUUUCAUGUCUAUUUUUUUUUCCAAAACAGCUUUUAGGGUCCACACCAAUGCCAAAAAAAAAAA